rnacentral:lncRNA from 1 species
CAUAUUUGCAGUGCCUCCUUCGGACAUGGUGUAACGACCCAGCCCACUAGCAACAAUAACUCGUUGGGCCCAACAACCGGCCCAAAAUGCUUAAGCCCAGUUAUUAUUACUAGUGUCUAAGUCUCUUAUAAACCCAAUGAUAACCCCAUUCCCAUCCGAUGUGGGAUUAUUGGGGUGUCACAGACUCCCCCCAUUAAGGCCCUGACGUCCUCGUCAGUUUAAUCACACACACAGUCCAAGAUCACAAGGCGAUGUGAGACUCAUAUCGCUAACCCGUCAUCCAGACCCUGGCUCAGCCGAGACUCGCCACAUAUGUCCAGCUAGUGAACCGGCUCUGAUACCAAAUGUAACGACCCAGCCCGCUAGCAACAAUAACUCGUUCGGCCCAACAACCGGCCCAAAAUGCUUAAGCCCAGUUAUUAUUACUAGUG